CACAAACUUGGAUAUAUAUUAGAUGAAUUUGUCAUUAAUAUGCUAUUACUAUUACUAUUUAUAGUAAAGAAAGUUCACAUUAUCAAAGUGUCGUGCAAAGAUUUCAUUAAUAAGGGCCGGGUGGCUUCUUUUGCUUCCCUUACCAUCAAAAAUUACGACUAAAGAUACUAUCCAAUAAAUCAUGGAAAAUAAACUAUCUUCCUCCCUAUAAAAAGCAACGCAGCGAGCUUCAGAAGGGAGCCAUACUGCCAUGGCCAAGAACGCUUGGAAGUUCAGUGCCUUCUUCUGUCUAGCUCUUCUAUUCCUGGGGACAGGUGAAAGCAUUAGAAAGGGAGAUCGCUUCGAAACUUCCAUCUCUAGGAAAAUGGCAACACCAAAAAAGCCAUUAGCUCAGGUAGGAGAAGAAAUGGACGGUGGCACAUGGAAAUCUCAAAAUGCUGUCAAUAAAGCUGAUCAUUACUACGAGAAACAUGGAGAUGUUCCAAGCCCAGGAAUUGGUCACUAGAACCUGCUUACAAAAGGGCCGUCAAUGGGCCUGGCCUACUAAGGAGCUCAGAAGCACGAGGUGCUGUGCGACCGAGUCCUUGCAACACUUGUGUUCAUUCAAGUACUCGUAGAUCUCAAGUGAGUGUAAUUUUCUAUUGUAAUAAUAUUUGUCUGGGGGUAGCUUCUUGCUUCCUCCAAUUCCUUUCAAAAUAACAAAAAGAAUGUAGUUUUCUAUUUUAUUGUGACUGAAAUGCCGACUAAACUGGGUCUCGGAUCAUAUGCGUGUGUGGAUAUGUAUUUUUCCUCCUCAUAUCUCAGCUGAUAUCUGCAGGCUUGCUUUGAUGAAGAAGUUUUUUACCUUCCUUUUUCAUCUUCUUCUGUUUUUUAACCCUAUAGGCUUGCAGCAAUAAUUUUCAUCUCUUAUGUGCUAAUCUUAUCUUCCA
rnacentral:lncRNA from 1 species